UGCUAGUGGCAAAAGGGUGAGUAACACGUGAGUAAUCUCCCUUCGAGUGGGGAACAACCUUGGGAAACCGAGGCUAAAACCGCAUAAGACCACGAUUCGGCAUCGAAUUGUGAUCAAAAGUGGGGACCGCAAGGCCUACUGCUUGAAGAUGAGCUCGCGACCUAUCAGCUUGUUGGUGAGGUAAUGGCUCACCAAGGCUUUUGACGGGUAGCUGGUCUGAGAGGAUGGUCAGCCACAUUGGGACUGAGACACUGCCCAGACUCCUACGGGAGGCUGCAGUCGAGGAUAUUUAGCAAUGCCCGAAAGGGUGACUAUGCGACGCCGCGUGUGCGAUGAAGGCCUUCGGGUCGUAAAGCACUGUCAGCAGGGAGGAAUCUCGGGUCCGCUACAGCGGAGCCGGGUGACAGUACCUGCAGAGGAAGCCACGGCUAACUCCGUGCCAGCAGCCGCGGUAAUACGGAGGUGGCAGGCGUUACUCGGAUUGAUUGGGUGUAAAGGGUGUGUAGGCGGCAGACCAAGUCGAAUGUGAAACCCCUUGGCUUAACCAAGGAACUGCAUUCGAAACUAGUUUGCCUGAGUGACAGAGAGGAAAGCGGAAUUCCCGGUGUAACAGUGAAAUGUGUAGAUAUCGGAAGGAACACCAGUGG
rnacentral:rRNA from 1 species